UACGAAGGGGGCUAGCGUUGCUCGGAAUGACUGGGCGUAAAGGGCGCGUAGGCGGAUGGCACAGUCAGAUGUGAAAUUCCCGGGCUUAACCUGGGGGCUGCAUUUGAUACGUGUUGUCUUGAGUUCGGAAGAGGGUCGUGGAAUUCCCAGUGUAGAGGUGAAAUUCGUAGAUAUUGGGAAGAACACCGGUGGCGAAGGCGGCGACCUGGUCCGACACUGACGCUGAGGCGCGAAAGCGUGGGAGCAAACAGG
rnacentral:rRNA from 1 species